rnacentral:rRNA from 1 species
UACGUAGGGGGCAAGCGUUAUCCGGAUUUACUGGGUGUAAAGGGAGCGUAGACGGCUGUGCAAGCCAGAUGUGAAAGCCCGGGGCUCAACCCCGGGACUGCAUUUGGAACUGUGUGGCUGGAGUGUCGGAGAGGCAGGCGGAAUUCCUAGUGUAGCGGUGAAAUGCGUAGAUAUUAGGAGGAACACCAGUGGCGAAGGCGGCCUGCUGGACGACGACUGACGUUGAGGCUCGAAAGCGUGGGGAGCAAACAGG